rnacentral:rRNA from 1 species
UUUGGCGGUAUUUUAGUCUUUUCAGAGGAACCUGUUCUGUAAUUGAUAAUCCACGUUUAGUUUUACUUAUAUUAAAAAUUUAUAUAUCAUCGUAGUUGAAUAUUUUAAAAGAAACUAAAUAUUCAUAAUUUUACUUUAAAAAAUAAAUCAGAUCAAGGUGUAGUUUAUGUAUAAGAAGUAAUGGGUUACAAUAAAUAUAUUUAUUAAAUUUUAAUUUAAAAUUAAAAGUAUAAUUGGAUUUGAAAGUAAUUUAGUUAAUUUAAAUUAAAUGAUUUAAGCUCUAAAAUAUGCACAUAUUGCCCGUCGCUUUCAUUUAAAUUGAAAUAAGUCGUAACAAAGUAAAUGUACUGGAAAGUGUAUUUAGAUAGCAAAUUAGAGCUUGUUAAAAAGUAUUUUAGUUACAUUAAAAAGUUAAUUGUGUAAAUCAGUUUAAUGAAUUUAAUAAUUUAUUUUAAAAUUAGUAAAUAAAAUAAUAUUAAAUUUUAUUAUUUUUAAAAGAAAAAAUAUAAUUUAUUAUAGUUGAUUAGUAUAGUGAUAGAAAAUUUUAAAUAUGAUAAAGAAUAAUUUAUUUUUAGUACCUUGUGUAUCAGGGUUUAUUAAUAAAAUUUUAAAUAGCUUAAAAUUCCCGAUUUUAAAAGAGUUAACUAUUUAUUAAUUUUAUUGUUAAAUAAAUAUUUAAAAUAAGUAGUUAGUAAUGAAAUGUUAGUCGUUUUUAAAUAUAUCUGGUUUUUUAAGAAAAAAAUUUAAUUUUGUUAAUAGGAAUAUUAUUUUUUAAUAAAAAAAAAUAAAUUUUAUAUUAAUAAUAUUAUUAGGGAUUAGCUUAAUAGUAUAUAAUUAUAAAUUAAAAUAAUUUAUUAAAAAAAUUAUAGGAUUAGAAAUUUUCAUUAUUUAAUUUAUUAUUAUUAAUUUUUUAAUGUAUAAAGAUUUUUAUUAAUUUUAAUUAGUUUAUUAAAAUGUAAAAUUUAAUAAAAAAAAUUUUAGCAAUAAUGAUAAAAUUAGUAUAAUUUAAUGUAAAUUUAAUUUUAAAAUUAGAGGUUAUUAAAAGGAAUUCGGCAAAAAGAUUUUUCGCCUGUUUAUUAAAAACAUGUCUUUUUGAAAUUAAUCUAAAGUCUAACCUGCCCAAUGAGGAAUUGAAUGGCCGCAGUAUUUUGACUGUGCAAAGGUAGCAUAAUCAUUAGUUUCUUAAUUAGGAACUGGAAUGAAGGGUUGAACGAGAAAAUAACUGUCUCUUGAUAAAUUAUUUUGAAUUUUAUUUUUUAGUUAAAAAGCUAAAAUAAAUUUAAUAGACGAGAAGACCCUAUAGAGUUUUAUAAUUAAUUAAAUUAGUUUUUUUUAGUAUAAGUUAAAUUUAAUAGGAUUAAUUACUU